GUGACUCUGGAAGCCUCCCUGCAUGUCUGAGGACUGGCAGCACCUGGACCCUGGCUAAUGUGGUGUCCUGAGGAGUUGGUUGUGCCAGAGGAUGGGAUACCCUUGAGAGAAGCACCAUGGCCCAGGACUCACCAGGCAUCUUCUGCUAGGUUGCUGUGUUUGUGGACUUCAUUGCUCAGCACAAGGCACCAGGUAACGACAGCUGAAUGGACAGUCUCUCCACUCAGUGCGAGAAGAGACCUUCCCGAUGGGAUCUAGCCUAAUGAACUGCAACAAUAUUUGCUUGAGUAAAUGUUUGGGCUGUGGGAGUGUUGCAAUGUUAGUGGAAGAGAGGAAGAUUGAUACUCCUAAUUACCCUGGAUUGUAUCCCAGGAACUCAAAGUGCCACUGGCUCACUGGGGCUCCAGCAGAGUAUGUCGUAAAGAGGAAGCAAGGAGAGAGAAGAUUCAGGAUUAACUACUGCACUGAUGUGACCUCUGAAGGAAGCCCCCUGUCCUGGUUUGAGCCAGGACAGAACCAAUUUUCCUUUAAUAAUUUUACUUUUCAGUUAAGUCUCUUCUAAGUAACUUACUGGCCCAGAGUUAAACCCUGACACCCCUUAGGUGAAGAAAUUAAAUCUUCCUCAGCUGAUCUUGUCUGAGGAGCUUUCCUCUAACAUAUAAGAGGAUUAUGCAGUGAGGCAGAUGCUUUCUGAUCUCAGGUCCCCUUUUGUGCACUUCUUGCAUGCAUGAAAAGUGAUGGGCAGGUGCUCCAUCAUUCUCCAUAAGUGUUGUAUGUUCUCUCUAUUCUGGUUGCAUGCACUUCUUUUUUGGAGUGAGGACACAGGGUAGAGGAUGGUAGAGAACCACUUUCAGUGCCUGAGUCUCACUUGCUCUCUGCAGUGCUUGCAUCCUUAGAAUUCAAGGUUUCACUGUUCUUGCUUCCCCAACACUAUUUCCAGACAGAGCAGACAAAUUUGGUUUCUCUUGUAUUUUUGGCCUUGCUGUAUCUACUGGGUGAGGUUAUCUAGGAAAACAAGAAACUUGCCCAUGAAAGUGUAGCUAGUUAUCUGGCUCUCUUGCAGAUGCCUGUGGCCUUCACCCAGUUACUCUCAAGAGGCUAUUCAAGUGUGUUAGUAGGGCUGAAGAGGCCUGUCUUCAAUGUUGGCCAUGGCAUAUCACCAUGAAGCUUCUUGAAGACUACCAGUGUGAUGGGGCUGUCAUCAGCCCUCCAUGGCUGUUGACAACUGCUCACUGUGUCCAGCUGCCAGUGUGUCCAGCCCAGGUCCCCAGGCCACCUCUGCUCCUCUCCCCAUGCUGUGCACUCCACCUGCUCCUCCAGGCUGGGGUGCAAACAGCUGGAGAGCUACAAAUUAUAUUCACAUCUUUAUGUCCUCUGCAAAACAUUUCUUCUGCACUUCCUCCAUCCUUACUGAUUUUAGAAACGGCAACAGUUUGGUCUUGCUUGUAGGAGAUCCAUUAAAGUUAAUUGGACUAUCUGAGCUGUAGCAAAACCAGAACUGAUGCAACAUAUGUGUUGUAAUGAGAAGCUCUUGCUCAGCAGUCCUGGGAAUAAGUGGCUAAUUAGAGAAGAGCCAGAAGGGAUGGAUGACUGCUGAAUAAGGAAGCUGUAUGGCUGGCUUUAAGUAGCCCCAAAAUGUUUGCUUUCAUUAUACAAUUCUAAUAAACCCUUGCACUGGACUGUGACAGUAGGAGACUGUGACAGAGACCUGAGAGAGUCAAGAGAACAGGUGAAAACCAAGCAAUACCAUAAAAAUGUUGACUUUGAUGAAUUUGACCCUCCAAUAUUUCUCAAAACAGAUCUAUAUGCACCGAUAAAACAGUGUUGACAGCAAGGCAAAGCGACUGGUAAGUGGCACAGAUUGAGGAAUGAGAAAAGAAAUCUAGUCACUCUGGCCUCAUUCAGCCAACUUGCAGUUUAUAGAAGUAUGUUUUAUAUCUAGUAGUUCUUAUUACUAGCAGUAAAAAAGUCUUUAACAGAGAUGACUGACUGUCCUCAGCAUCUUACUCUCUUGGUGAUGAGCAGUAUAUCUGUCUGCAAAAAAAAACUUGCUGAUUCUUUUUCUUCCUGAUGGGGAGGAGGAAGAAAAACAUUUGGAAAAGAAGCACAAGUGACUCACACUAGUCUUCUGCAAAACCUUAGUGGCUUGUGUUUUCACAACAAAGCAGUCAGCCUUCACUCUAGACUCUACAGAUCUAUGUAAUCCAUCCUAGCAAUCUUCUCAAAAGAUUCUUUUCAUGACUUAUUUUGAGCUUGGUCGUUGUGGGAUUUUUGCCUUCUUCCUUUACAAGCACUUUCUUUCAGAGAAGGUGAUUAGACAUUGGAAUGGACUGCCCAGAGAAGUAGUGGAGGCACCGUCCCUGGAUGUGUUCAAGGAAAGGCUGGAUGUGGCACUUAGUGCCAUGGUCUAGCCAGUGUGGUGGUGUUAGGUCAUAGGCUGGACUUGAUGAUCUUAAAGGUCUUUUCCAGCCUUGGUGGUUCUAUGAUUCUGUGAAGUAUGCUUUCUGGAUGCACUUAGAGGGCAACUUGUUCCUUCUCUGCCCUGAUUCCUCCAUCCUGGUCACAGCUGGGAGAGGUGAAGACCAUCCUGGUACAUCCCCAUUUUGACAUGCUGAGCUAGGACUCCAGCAUAGCCCCAGUGCAGCUAGACAUCUCUCUGGAAUACAACGCUGCUGUGAGGCCAGUGUGUGUGUGUCCACCAGCACAGAGACGCUGUCCUCCUCUUCCCUCUGCACUGUGUCUGGAUGGGAGAUCAUCGAAGAAGAUGGGAGCUGAGCUAGAUGAUUGCAGCAGACAAAAGCACCAGUACUUGAGAAUGGAAUCUGUGAGAGAAAUUACUACUUCAGUCACCCUGGAGGCAUCACAGCCAGGAUGCUUUGCACUGCCUUUUUUUCUGUGGGAGGCCAGGACUCUUGUCAGGACAAAAAUAUGGCAAUGCCCAAAAAAAUCUCAAGGAGAUGAGCUCAGAGUUGUCACAGUGCAGUUGUGUCAUCCUUACAGAUCAGGAAGGAAUGAUCCAGUCACCAGCACAAGACAUGCAAACUCUACCAGUGCUCAGACAGAACAGUUCAGGGAAAAAGUGCUUGUUCCUGAAUGUGAAGGAUGGCAACCCCAUGCUUGGGAAAGCUGUGCACAAACACUAUGGCUUUGGGGAUUCCUUUCAGAAGUGACCUGGCACUCCUGGAGCUGCAAAAACCCAGAGCCAGGGAGACACCAGGUGGACACUCAUCUGCAUGAUUGAUGGCAUGAUAAGCUGGUUGGUAUUGCAAGCUGUGGCUGGACAAGUAUCAUCCAGAGUCACCAACAGUUUACACCAGGGAGUCUGCCUACAGACACUGCAUUUCAUCAGUCACAAACCAAAACAUUUUAUUAAUGUGAACAGGAGGUUUUUCAGGUUUUUAAUGGCUUUUUCCUCCAUGAUGAUGUAUACUGGAUAAGUGUUCAUCAUUCCGGUCACCUUCCUGCAAACCCUUCCUCUUUGGAAGUUCUGACUCGAGCACUUGGUUUCAGAAAUCUCCUUUUUACUGCAGCAAAGCUUGUGGUGCUAUAGCACUGAUAUAAAUUCUGAUCCUGAGCUACAAUCCUUCAGUGUUUGGGUGUAUGUCUAGUGUCAAGACCUUCACAUAGCUGGUACUCAUCUGUCAAAAUAAAAUCGGUAUGCCCUGUUCAUCUCAGAUAACCUGAUUUACCAGAGUGAGGUAGCUGUUGCAGCAGCAUGGAUAGCUAAGAUGAACUGCAUCAACUGCAGUGUUAGUGUGCUGAAAAG